rnacentral:rRNA from 1 species
UGGGGAAUAUUGCACAAUGGGGGAAACCCUGAUGCAGCGACGCCGCGUGAAGGAAGAAGUAUCUCGGUAUGUAAACUUCUAUCAGCAGGGAAGAGAUUGACGGUACCUGACUAAGAAGCCCCGGCUAACUACGUGCC